rnacentral:rRNA from 1 species
CCUACGGGUGGCAGCAGUGAGGAAUAUUGGUCAAUGGGCGGAAGCCUGAACCAGCCAAGUAGCGUGCAGGAUGACGGCCCUACGGGUUGUAAACUGCUUUUAUACGGGAAUAACGCGCCUUACGUGUAGGGCUUUGCAUGUACCGUAUGAAUAAGGACCGGCUAAUGCCGUGCCAGCAGCCGCGGUAAUACGGAAGGUCCGGGCGUUAUCCGGAUUUAUUGGGUGUAAAGGGAGCGUAGGCGGGAUGUCAAGCGUGCUGUGAAAUGUCCGGGCUCAACCCGGGGCUUGCAGCGCGAACUGGCGUGCUUGAGUGCGCGGAAGGCAGUCGGAAUUCGGCGUGUAGCGGUGAAAUGCUUAGAUAUCACGAAGAACACCGAUGGCGAAGGCAGCCUGCCGCAGCGUUACUGACGCUGAAGCUCGAAAGCGCGGGUAUCGAACAGGAUUAGAUACCCGUGUAGUC